UACGUAGGGACCAAGCGUUGUUCGGAUUUACUGGGCGUAAAGGGCGCGUAGGCGGCGUGGUAAGUCACUUGUGAAAUCUCUGAGCUUAACUCAGAACGGCCAAGUGAUACUGCUGUGCUAGAGUGCAGAAGGGGCAAUCGGAAUUCUUGGUGUAGCGGUGAAAUGCGUAGAUAUCAAGAGGAACACCUGAGGUGAAGACGGGUUGCUGGGCUGACACUGACGCUGAGGCGCGAAAGCCAGGGGAGCAAACGGGG
rnacentral:rRNA from 1 species